UAUCUCUGUAGAGUCUGCAUAUCAAUAAGCGGAGGAAAAGAAACUAACAAGGAUUCCCCUAGUAACGGCGAGUGAAGCGGGAAGAGCUCAAAUUUGAAAUCUUCAAGGUUUGACCUUGACGAAUUGUAGUUUAAAGAAGUGUUUUCGGUUAGAGGAGCAGUAAAAGUUCUUUGGAAUAGGACAUCAUAGAGGGUGAGAAUCCCGUAUUUGACUAUUCUUUCUAGCUUUGUGAUACACUUUCAAAGAGUCGGAUUGUUUGGGAAUGCAGUCCAAAAUGGGUGGUAAAUUUCAUCUAAAGCUAAAUAUUGGCGAGAGACCGAUAGCGAACAAGUACCGUGAGGGAAAGAUGAAAAGAACUUUGAAAAGAGAGUUAAACAGUACGUGAAAUUGUCAAGAGGGAAGCGUUUGACACCAGUGUUGUUUUUCCGAAAAUCAAUUAAAAAUUGAUUCAUGCCAGGUUGUAUUGACCUUAUCAGCUUGCAAUUUGGUUUUGGGUCUCUUUUUGAUGCACUUUUCGGUUAACAAGUCAACAUCAAUUUCCUUUGCUGUAAAAAGGUAAGAGGAAGGUGGCUUCAAUUUCGGUUGAAGUGUUUAUAGCCUUUUAUCUCUGCAGUCGGGGAGAUUGAGGUCUGCAGCGUAGAUCCUUCGGGGCUAGAUACAUUUAUGCUAAGUUAUAGCUUUUCAUAGACAACUUGUUGACUAUGUUUAGUCAUGUAGCUUACUCGUAAGUGCUAUUUUACCUACGCUUAGGAUGUUGAGCGCAUGUCCUCUCUCU
rnacentral:rRNA from 1 species